rnacentral:lncRNA from 1 species
GUAACUUCUUAUUUUUGGCAUUAUAGAGGCUUUGUUUUCUCAUUCAUCCUUGGUCUGUCAGUAAGGUUCAAAUUUCUCCCUGGGAUGGGGUUAAAUCCAGAAGGAACCAGGAAUGUCCCCAUGGUCUUUCCUGCCCUGGUACCAUCAAAGGCCCAUUGGUGGGUGGGUGAUCACAAGGCACCAAAAGAUCACCCAAAGUCAACAAAACAGCCCAGAGGUAUGAGGCAAGCAGACAGACUAAAAGCUCUUUCCCCCACAGAAAAGCCAUUCUGUGCUACCAAAAGACAAGAUGAAAUAAAAGAGCCUGAAUUUAACACAACACACGCAUGCGCUUUAUGAAUGAAUUCAACUUAAAGGUCACUGGGGUGAUAAGCAGUGCAGUAAAGUGUACAAUAGAAGUCAUUUUAAGCUGUGAUUCCUAACAGCUUCUUGUUUGGAGAAAACACAGUUUCAACCCUAUUUUUUGCACCUGUGUGCUAGUUACCUGAUUAGCCCAGAACUUAACAUGUGCUCAGUCUGUUCCUUUCUCUUUUAGUAGGUGGUGGUGCUUGUGUGUGCUGCUUGGGUCAAAGCUGUGUGAUGGGCUUCAGUUUCUACUUGCUGUAAAUGCUGACGCACCUUGAUAGCAUUCUUGUUACUGUUUCCAUUGCUCUGCUUCCAGAAAUCAUUCUACCUAUGAACAUCUUCAUCAAUUUUUUCCUAAUCGUUUGAUAUUUUUCUUCAUCUGUGAAGUGAUAAGUGUAGCUGGCCUUUAUGUAAACCUGUAAAAGCUUCUGAGAGAUACUUUUUCAGGUUUGGAUUCCCAUGCCACGUGUUUCCUAAGGGUUUUUCUCCUAAGUAAUUCCCAUUGCACUGAGUGGAGUUACUGCCUCCUCCAUCUGAACCUGAAAUCCUCCUGAUUAAACUCUGACAUAUUGAACAUCCAGCUGUUUUAUUAUUGGGUUUUUAACGACCAUUUGAAAGGGAUGCUCUGAGUAACCUGCAGAGAGACUUUUUCAAAUGAAGCUCUCAGCUUCUGAUAAACCCAGCAACUCGUUGUCCAGCUUCCUGUUCCUGAUAUGCAGAACACAUGUCAGAACAACUGGCCUAAUGAGAGAUGAAAAAUGGACAUGGCCAGGUCUGGUUCUGGAAACUGCAACACUUAGUGAGGCAUCAAAUAACAUCUACAGGAAUGUCCAGCUGAAGAGCAAAAGUUCCUUGAUGAGUCAAGACUGCGGGAUGCCUCACUGUUCAAAUGCCUUUUGUUGCUCCCUCAGGGUACCAUUGGCAUUACACACUCCCAGGGCAAACAGUAUUUGGAAACAGCAAAAGUUUUCUGAAUUCAGCACUGUUGCUUAAGAGUUGCUGUGGGCUGAACGAGGUUGCUGCUGUACUCUCAUCAUUAAUCAUUGAGUGAAAUUUUGCUUCUGCUGUGUCUUCCAUACUGUUUUCAAAUUCUUGUUUUUAUUUCCCAAGCACUGCUUUCAUCUUGCCUUGAAUCGUUCACUAUUUUUUCAGUUAAUCCACUCUAGUGGAGUGGCAAACAAGGCUGUCCCCAAAGACAUGCCUGCUGCUGAUUGCAAGCAUUUUUUUUAGUAUUGUAAUUGCACCAGAUGACAUUGUGAAAUGAAUCUCAUCCUGUAAUACAGACUGUGAGCGAUAUGGAAAGCAAUCAUAAGAAAGUCUCUAUUGUAUACAGGUCUAACCUAUGUUAAAUUAAUUGAAAUCAGUUUCUGUGGGAUCAAACCUGAAAUUAUCACCUUCAACAAAACCUGGCAUGCUAUUUGUAUAGUUACUGUUCAUUAGAAUAUAACUUGUGAAUCAACACAAAAAAAGAAAUGUGUCACGCACCACUUAUUUUAGAAGAUCCCAUGGUUCUCAUUUGCCCUUGCUCUUGUUCUGUCCCUUGUUGUCACAUUUAAAAGAUUCUAGAAUUCCAGCUAUAGGAGAAGCAAAGGCCUCUACUACUGGUACAAGUGUCCUAGAAGUCAG